GCCGGAGGGAAACCGAGUCUUAAUUGGGCGUUAAGUUGCAGGGUAUAGACCCGAAACCCGGUGAUCUAGCCAUGGGCAGGUUGAAGGUUGGGUAACACUAACUGGAGGACCGAACCGACUAAUGUUGAAAAAUUAGCGGAUGACCUGUGGCUGGGGGUGAAAGGCCAAUCAAACCGGGAGAUAGCUGGUUCUCCCCGAAAGCUAUUUAGGUAGCGCCUCGUGAAUUCAUCUCCGGGGGUAGAGCACUGUUUCGGCUAGGGGGUCAUCCCGACUUACCAACCCGAUGCAAACUGCGAAUACCGGAGAAUGUUAUCACGGGAGACACACGGCGGGUGCUAACGUCCGUCGUGAAGAGGGAAACAACCCAGACCGCCAGCUAAGGUCCCAAAGUCAUGGUUAAGUGGGAAACGAUGUGGGAAGGCCCAGACAGCCAGGAUGUUGGCUUAGAAGCAGCCAUCAUUUAAAGAAAGCGUAAUAGCUCACUGGUCGAGUCGGCCUGCGCGGAAGAUGUAACGGGGCUAAACCAU
rnacentral:rRNA from 1 species